CUACGGGGCGCUGCAGUGAGGAAUAUUGCACAAUGGGGGGAACCCUGAUGCAACAACGCCGCGUGGAGGAUGACGCAUUUCGGUGUGUAAACUCCUUUUAUAUGUCAAGAAAAUGACGGUAGCAUAUGAAUAAGCACCGGCUAACUCCGUGCCAGCAGCCGCGGUAAUACGGAGGGUGCAAGCGUUACUCGGAAUCACUGGGCGUAAAGGACGCGUAGGCGGGUUGGAAAGUCAGGUGUGAAAUCCUACAGCUUAACUGUAGAACUGCACUUGAAACUUCUAAUCUAGAGUAUGGGAGGGGGAGAUGGAAUUAGUGGUGUAGGGGUAAAAUCCGUAGAUAUCACUAGGAAUACCUAAAGCGAAGGCGAUCUCCUGGAACAUUACUGACGCUAAGGCGUGAAAGCGUGGGGAGCAAACAGGAUUAGAUACCCUCGAGUC
rnacentral:rRNA from 1 species